rnacentral:lncRNA from 1 species
ACAAAUUAACGAGCUAAUUUAAAAAGGAAACAAAACAGAAUGGAUAAGGCGCGAUUGAAUGCGCAUGCAAAAGGGGCGACCAAUCUUGCAAAUAGCCCAUUCGCAGUAUAAGGGCGCGGGUUCGAGUCUUGGAGCAGGUUGACGCGCGGACCCUCCCCCUUUGCAACGAUUUCGUCCUUUAUUGAUCCCCUCUUUAUUUCCUUCUUAAAACGCAGCCCACCAUUAAAGCAAAGGCCAUUAACCCAAUUAGUUAGGGUUUCAUAUGGCGAGAGACUGCCGAACCACCAUUUAUGUGGUGACCGACGGCUCUUAGGUGAUGGCCUGACUUGGUGCGCGCUUGCAGAGAUACGGUAAGCUUCCUUUUUUUUCUUUCUUCAUCGUUUUUUUUUUAAACUUCAAACCCUCGUUCGUUUUCUUUAGUGAAAAGAGGGUUUCAUAAAACAAGGAAAUCUCCACAUUGUUCGACCCCUCACCCUUACCUCCGCAUCUAUAAGGUAUCUGGGCUUCUCAUCGGUGUCAAUUUACAUGUAUAAAAACAAAAAAAUGGGAAAUCAUACAAAAGGAGGAUAAAUCGACAAAGAGAAAAAGAUCUUUCAAAUCACCUUCUUUUUUUUGUUUUCUAUUUCCUCUGUAUGCUUGAAUAUGCGUUAGUAAAAUGUGCGUAAAACCAUACAAUGAGCCAGCACUUUGGCUUUAUAUCCGAAACAGAAUAAGAAAGAUUCAAAAAUAAAUCAAAAUCAAAAUACAAAUUCCUCUUUUCGUAUUUGUUGUUGUGUGGUUUUGUCUGUUUCUUCGCAGGUACAGAGGCCCGUUGGCGUGUGUACGAGGCUGUACUAGCGUACGAAGGCUGUUGACGUGGAGGUAUGAGCGGUGUUGGGGCUGUACGACGGUUGAAGGCUGCAGCGCGAGGAGUGAGCCCUAGGGUUUCUGCUCUUGAAAUGUUUCGGGCCUUUUGGGCCGAUGUAACUUGGGUCUGGGUUUAUCCGUUAAUAGGUUUGUUAUUUGGGUCUUUGGUCUGUUGUGAUUUAAAUUUUUGUCUCGUAUUUGGGCUAGAUUUUGGUUAGGGCUGUGCACUGUAAAUGGACUGUAAAGGGACAUUUAAUUUUUAUUUGGGUUUUAUACUUAUUUUUUGGUUUAUUUUGUUUUGUUUUGUGUUUGUAAUGGGCCGGGCAAAUUUGGCCUGCUACAGCUGCCCCUCUUUGCUCAUUGUCGUGUAACGAGAAUAGAGCGAAGACUAUAAAAAGGACCAAAUUUGCUCGGUUUGGCUAAGUCUCAAAAUCUUGAUCCUCAUCUUCCCCAAAG